rnacentral:rRNA from 1 species
CUUUAUUGGAGAGUUUGAUCCUGGCUCAGGACGAACGCUGGCGGCGUGCCUAAUACAUGCAAGUCGAGCGGACAGAUGGGAGCUUGCUCCCUGAUGUUAGCGGCGGACGGGUGAGUAACACGUGGGUAACCUGCCUGUAAGACUGGGAUAACUCCGGGAAACCGGGGCUAAUACCGGAUGGUUGUCUGAAC